CCCCAAACCGCCCACCCAGCCGGGGCCAGCCCCUCCCUGUGCCCGGCAGUCUGGCAGCAAAAGUGGUAAUGUUAGUGUUCUAUUCUCAGUCUUGAUUUCAAUACGAAUUUAAACGGAGUACAGUGAAGAAGUACAUAAAUAUUACUGACAAUAGACGUCCUCCGCCAUCUCCAGAAGACGAGAGGGAGACAGCCUGGCGUGCAAGUUUUAUUAUGGCAGUGUGACGCCUCGUGCCGCGCAGUGAUAUUGAGGAGGCCCGUCACUAGGGGCGAUUUCCCGAGGCGAUAACUGAGAAUAUUUGAAGCCAGACCCCGGGUGUCUUCACCUUGAAAGUGGAGUUUUUAUUUGUCAAGAGUGAGAGAUGUGACAGGCAUUUGGGCCUCACAGGGAGGACCAGCACCGGCCCAUCAACAGACUAUCAGCGAGUGACCAAGUAACACCAGCAUGCGUCCUAUCAAUCCCAUCCUCCACGGCAACACCAAUCCGGGGGCACCGUGUGGGCGGUACAGGAACGGCAAAUGCGUCACUACAAAACCCGCUUGUGUCGCCAACUGGAGGGAGGAGGUGGGGACGACCAUCUAAGCCUCAGAAGAAAGGGGAGUCAUCAUUUUGACCUUCGAAUAUAAGAGCUGGGGAAGAAUUGGCUACCGGUUCUAUAGGCCAACAUAUAAGAAACCAACCUCCUUCACUUUCUACACUGGUAGGUUCCGGAGGCAAGCAGGCGUCCCUCCCAAGCGUAGUAUACAAGUCACACAGCGGCGCCUCGUAUUGCCGUUCAGUGCAGCUUCGACACUGAAUUUACGACUUGCCUCCGCUGCUCAUUUGCCUCGGCCUGCAUUUCUCCUGAGUGCAGCCGUAGGUAUCAAGGCCGCCUCAGCUAAAUUGGCUAUCUGUUUCAACUUUCCUAUGAUUAUUGUUUUUGUAGAGAAUAAUAUUGAGUUGUUGGUCAGAUGUCUUAACACUUAAAACAUAUAUGAAUAAAAAAAUAUCCGGACUCUUUACUUAGAUCUUGUAUUUUCUCUGAAGACGUGGUAGAAAGUGUCGUAGUAAUUUAAUUAACUUUAUUAGGAACGACAAAUGGGUGGACUUCAUUUUUGUACUCUUU